rnacentral:rRNA from 1 species
GAUGAACGCUAGCGGCAGGCCUAAUACAUGCAAGUCGGACGGGAUCCAUUGAUAGCUUGCUAUCAAUGGUGAGAGUGGCGCACGGGUGCGUAACGCGUGAGCAACCUGCCUCCAUCAGGGGGAUAGCCUCUCGAAAGAGAGAUUAACACCGCAUAAUAUCAACAGUUCGCAUGUUCAGUUGAUUAAAUAUUUAUAGGAUGGAGAUGGGCUCGCGUGACAUUAGCUAGUUGGUAGGGUAACGGCUUACCAAGGCGACGAUGUCUAGGGGCUCUGAGAGGAGAAUCCCCCACAGUGGGACUGGGACACGGACCAGACUCCUACGGGAGGCAGCAGUAAGGAAUAUUGGUCAAGGGGCGGAAGCCUGAACCAGCCAUGCCGCGUGCAGGAUGACUGCCCUAUGGGUUGUAAACUGCUUUUGUCCAGGAAUAAACCUAAAUACGAGUAUUUAGCUGAAGGUACUGGAAGAAUAAGGAUCGGCUAACUCCGUG